CACCGCCGCGGCAGUCUCGUUGUGAGUGGAGUGGCGGUGUUUUCGUCCACCUGUCUGCACUAUGUCCGGCGGCCUUUUGAAGGCGCUGCGCAGCGACUCCUACGUGGAGCUGAGCCAGUACCGGGACCAGCACUUCCGGGGUGACAAUGAAGAACAGGAAAAAUUACUGAAGAAGAGCUGUACGUUGUAUGUUGGAAAUCUUUCCUUUUACACAACUGAAGAACAGAUCUAUGAACUCUUCAGCAAAAGUGGUGACAUAAAGAAAAUCAUUAUGGGCCUGGAUAAGAUGAAGAAAACAGCAUGUGGGUUCUGCUUUGUGGAAUACUAUUCAAGAGCAGAUGCGGAAAAUGCCAUGAGGUACAUAAAUGGAACUCGUCUGGAUGACCGGAUCAUUCGCACAGACUGGGACGCAGGCUUUAAAGAGGGCAGGCAGUAUGGCCGUGGGCGAUCUGGGGGCCAGGUACGAGAUGAGUAUCGGCAGGACUAUGACGCUGGGAGAGGAGGCUAUGGAAAACUGGCCCAAAACCAUGAUAAAGGCAUUUAUGGCCAUUAACUUUCUUCUCAAACCAGCCUUCAUUAUGUUCCACAGUGCUUGAUGACUUUCAAGAAAUAAAAGAAUGUAUCAGUUUGACACUGGUGGAACAUAAUAGGAACCAGCAGAAGAUACCCCUCAUGAACUGGAUGUUAAAUGACCCAUCAAGCUAUAAAGUUAAUAUGUACAACAGCACUCCACCAACAAAUAGAAAUGAGAUUCUGGACCCAGUUCCAGCAUGGGGAUGAUAAACAAGGAUUUCCAAUGCAAUAGAAAGGCCCUGCCUGCAUCUUCAAGGAGAACCCUUCACGAAGAUAAACACAUCUCACUGGGACCAGAAGUAAAAUGGCAGUCAAAGAGCACUAUCAUAAACCAAGCACUAAUACAUCUCAUUUCAUCCUUAUAACUACCCUGUGUUAGCAUCCCUUCUUUACAAAUGGAGACAGGAACCUUAGGGAGGUUAAGGAACUUUCCCAAGUACCCUUAACUAGCAUAUGGCAAAGUGAAGAUUCUGAUUGUGAUCAUGGUUAUAGGACCACAGAAAGUGAACCACUAACUAUUAUGCUGUACUACAUCCAAAGCAGAAUACCUAUUAUCUUUUCUCUAUAAAAGCAGCUUGUUUUCCCUUUAAUACCCAUUGGCCAUUUCCCUUCAUCUUUCCCUUUUAAUACCCAUUGGCCAAGAAUUACCCAAAAAACUUCUUAAAAUGAGAAUUAAAUCCAUUAUUCUUUACCCACUUGCAUUCAUGAAACUAAUGAACCAAAAAGGAAAAAAUGCAUCUGGUAUACACAAUUUCUCUUACUCCCAAAGUGCUAAAAUAUCAAUGUGACCAAGAAACAAAGGAUUAAAUGUUAGGAAAAAACAAAACAACAAAAGCUACAAUUCAAAUUAGAAUCCAUCUUACAUGUACAAAAGGUAGCGAUAUGGUUCUUUUCCUCACUGGCUGCUUGAAGCUUGGCCACCAUCAAAAAGGAAACAAUAACUUUCAGGACCCCGAAGUUCAUGACCAACCUACUACUUCAGCAGAAACAAAUGGUCACUGAUGUUCUUCACCCCAGAAAGGCAACAGUAGCUAAGACAGAAAUUCACAAAACAGCUAGCCAAAAUGUAUAAGACCACACCAGAUGUCAUCUUUGUAUUUGAAUUUAGAACCCAUCUUGGUGGUGGCAAGACAAGUGGCUUCGGUAUGAUUUAUGAUUCCUUGGAUUAUGCAAAGAAAAAUGAACCCAAACAGACUUGCAAGACAUGGCGUAUAUGAGAAGAAAAAAAA